rnacentral:rRNA from 1 species
CCAAUAGCGUAUAUUAAAGUUGUUGCAGUUAAAAAGCUCGUAGUUGAAUUUUGGGGUUAGUAGGCUGGUCGUGCCACUGGUAUGUACUGGUCUUACUGAAUUCUCAUUUCUGAAGAACUGUAAUGCCAUUAAUUUGGUGUUGCAGGGAAUCAGGACUGUUACUUUGAAAAAAUUAGAGUGUUUAAAGCAGGCUAACGCUUGAAUACAUUAACAUGGAAUAAUGAAAUAGGACGUUCGAUCCUAUUUUGUUGGUUUCUAGGAUUGACGUAAUGAUUAAUAGGGAUAGUUGGGGGCAUUAGUAUUCAAUCGUUAGAGGUGAAAUUCUUGGAUUUAUUGAAGACUAACUACUGCGAAAGCAUUUGCCAAGGAUGUUUUCAUUAAUUAAGAACGAAAGUUAGGGGAUCGAAGACGAUCAGAUACCGUCGUAGUCUUAACCAUAAACUAUGCCGACUAGGGAUCGGAUGAUGUUAAUUUUUUAAUGACUCAUUCGGCGCCUUACG